rnacentral:lncRNA from 1 species
AGAUGAGAUUGAGGCAGUUUUAGAAAUAGUCUUACACUGGCAGGUGGACAGUUCAAGGCAUUCGUUGGCCAUUGGAGACUGCAGUAGUCACAUCGAUGUUAGUGCUAGGUACAGGGCUAAGAUAGCCACCAGCAUUCAAGCACCCAUCAUCUUAGAUAAACUCUCCAUUGUCUUGGUACACACAGGCUACCAAAGGACUGAGAUAAUCAAACCCCAUACUGUCCCAAGCAUGGUAACAGACCAUUGGCCCAGAGUCACUGGUAUCAUCCAAGAUGCUGUUGUUGAUGGCCAGGAUUGACUGUGGCCACCCAGGGCUGCUUUUGAUGCCAUCUCCAAGAUCUACAGCUACCCCAGACCUGGAGAAACAGACGUGCUCACCAAGUCGGGAACUACCUGAUUAUCUUAGGAUAUUCGUUCUAGGGUCUCUGUACAGAAGAGUCAGGAUCCAGCUUUGGAUACCAUAAACGGAUUUUUAUAUAAGAAAAAGUGAAGCAAGCCCAUUUGAAAAAAAAAAAAAAA